AAGAUCAUACUUCACAGGAUCAUUUCUGUAGUAUAUCUUCACACAUUCUCAACUCACAUUGAGAGUGGUUGCAUCCUCGACGAUGAGUCGAAGUUUCGCAUCUUGAGCGUGAGGCAGGUUCUAAGAAUUCUCUCUGGAAAUCCUAGUGGCCAUCGAUGAUCGUUCACCUGGAAUUUUCCAGUUACGGAUGCGAAACAAUCUGAGGGGU